UACGGGGGGGCAAGCGUUGUUCGGAAUUACUGGGCGUAAAGGGCUCGUAGGUGGCCAACUAAGUCAGACGUGAAAUCCCUCGGCUUAACCGGGGAACUGCGUCUGAUACUGGAUGGCUAGAGAUUGGGAGAGGGAUGCGGAAUUCCAGGUGUAGCGGUGAAAUGACGUAGAUAUCUGGAGGAACACCGGUGGCGAAGGCGGCAUCCUGGGCCAACACUGACGCUGAGGAGCGAAAGCCAGGGGAGCAAACGGGG
rnacentral:rRNA from 1 species